rnacentral:rRNA from 1 species
AUUGAACGCUGGCGGAAUGCUUUACACAUGCAAGUCGAACGGUAGAGGGGGCAACCCCUUGAGAGUGGCGAACGGGUGAGUAAUAUAUCGGAACGUGCCCAGUCGUGGGGAUAACGGUAGCGAAAGUUACGCUAAUACCGCAUACGAUCUAAGGAUGAAAGCGGGGGAUCGCAAGACCUCGCGCGAUUGGAGCGGCCGAUAUCAGAUUAGGUAGUUGGUGGGGUAAAGGCUCACCAAGCCAACGAUCUGUAGCUGGUCUGAGAGGACGACCAGCCACACUGGGACUGAGACACGGCCCAGACUCCUACGGGAGGCAGCAGUGGGGAAUUUUGGACAAUGGGCGCGAAGCCUGAUCCAGCAAUGCCGCGUGCAGGAUGAAGGCCUU